CUCGCCAAUUUGACGGCCUUUGACGACAAUUUGAUGGCCUAUAAUAAACAAUGCGAUUGGGCCCAGAGUCAUCCACUAGGUGGCUAGGUGACCUGACCCACACUUGUGUUGUGUCUGGAAGUUGAAGUGUGGAGGAGACUAGCUGCUACAGCUACAGCAAAGGGAGCAGCUUCUUUGCUAAUCCUCUCUACUCUUUCAGAGUUUAAUAACAAAAAAACAACUGUUAUAAUGGCUUCAAUUACAGAGUUAAAAUGCGCGCUCAGGGAAACUCUUGAAGCUCGUGGAGUAUUGGGACAGCUGAAAGCGAGGAUUCGAGCAGAGGUGUUCAGUGCUUUGGACGACCAGAGUGAACCACGGCCUCCACUGUCACAUGAAAAUCUUCUUAUCAAUGAGCUCAUCCGCGAGUAUUUGGAAUUCAACAAGUAUCACUACACAGCUUCAGUACUGACGGCAGAAUCCGGUCAGCCUGAAGUUCCUUUAGAUAGGCAGUUUGUGGCAAAUGAACUGAACGUUGUAGAGGACCCAAGUGCAAGGACAUUGCCGCUUCUCUAUGGCUUGCUGUCACAUUUCCUUCAAAGUGGAGAGACUAAGGACAAACUGUUUCUCAGAAACGCUGCCCCCUUGACCUCACAAAAGCCAAACACCAAAGACUGCUGAAUUGUACAUGUAUUGAGGCCAGUUGUUGACUGAAAUCUCAGGCCUGUGUAUUAUGGACUAAACAGGCAGGCAGAACUAGCAUGGGUCUCUGUCUUUGGAGCACAUUUAGACAAGGUGCAGGGUGAUCCUUUAUCCUUGUGGAGAGAAAACGUGAGUGUAAUCGUGAUGAAGGGCUCUGUUCUCUUUUCCGCAUUGGGAAUGGAACAGCUCCAACCUGUGCUGACGCGGCCGCCCGACGGAGACGAGCUGAUGACCUGCGCCUCUGCAUUCCUGUGCUCCAGCCCUCUCCAGCCUUUUUCCACUAAGGCUCAGAGUGCCAAGGCAAGGUUCAUGGCCAAAAAAAGAACUCGGUCAAUAGUUAUGUUUGAGGUUCCCGGUCUCUCCCCAUCCUGUCUCCACACCCAUCGGCACGCUGCUCUUGAUACUGACCAGAGCCAGAGACGGGGUUCUCUUUCCAGCCCCCUUUUUGUGCUCUUGGACGUCUCCACCUCAGCCACUGUCAUAGAGUUUGUGAGCAUACCAGUCUCUCCUUGUUCCCUGGAAACAUCGACCAUUGCCAGCGUGAUUUAUUGGACAAAAUAGGAGGUUGUCCUUAUAUAGGAAGCUCAACUAAAGAGAAACGGAGAGUUGUGGGAAUGUGCUUUAAGGGGGGUGGAUGUGGAGGAAUGUGAUUUGCGUAAAGAUAGGGGACACAACAAGGCUUGUGGGAUUUGCCUUCCUAAAACAUAUGUAAUCUAGGGAGUCUCCAUCACACCCACUCAUCUCCCCUGAUAGCCGAUCUCUCUCUUUAACAGCUGGGAUCCCUACUCACUGACAAGCAACGUUAUGCCCUUUUCAUCUGAAGUUCUAGGAGAUAAUAGUUAGGGCACCCAUAAAAGUCACAGUGACUGACUCUUCUGGCUGUGUCAGGAGCUUCAUGUCUGGAGCUUCACCGUGUCUCAGUGGGGGUUCGACUACCUUAAUAAUGUAAUAAUAAAGUAGUAUAGAAAACAAACCUGCUUUAUUGGACGUUCUGUUUGCUGUCUCAUUGCUUCCUGUAAUUGUAU